CCUACGGGUGGCUGCAGUGGGGAAUAUUGCACAAUGGGCGCAAGCCUGAUGCAGCCAUGCCGCGUGUGUGAAGAAGGCCUUCGGGUUGUAAGGCACUUUCAGCGGGGAGGAAGGCGGUGAGGUUAAUAACCUCAUCGAUUGACGUUACCCGCAGAAGAAGCACCGGCUAACUCCGUGCCAGCAGCCGCGGUAAUACGGAGGGUGCAAGCGUUAAUCGGAAUUACUGGGCGUAAAGCGCACGCAGGCGGUCUGUCAAGUCGGAUGUGAAAUCCCCGGGCUCAACCUGGGAACUGCAUUCGAAACUGGCAGGCUAGAGUCUUGUAGAGGGGGGUAGAAUUCCAGGUGUAGCGGUGAAAUGCGUAGAGAUCUGGAGGAAUACCGGUGGCGAAGGCGGCCCCCUGGACAAAGACUGACGCUCAGGUGCGAAAGCGUGAGGAGCAAACAGGAUUAGAUACCCGAGUAGUC
rnacentral:rRNA from 1 species